UCAUAUGGAACAGUUAGU
rnacentral:snRNA from 1 species